GUAAGGGAGUAUAGGAAACAUAUCUGAGAGGUGUAUCAUGACAAGAGAUAUCAAGGAAUGGCAGAAGUGUAGUAAAAGGAAUAUAGAAUGUUAGGAGCCAGCAUGGACCUUACUGAUGAUCUAAUCCAACCCUCUCCUUAUUAUAAGUAAGGAAAUAAAUAGAAGAUACUGCUAAUUGAUAUAAACCUCCAAGGAUUAUACCUGCUACUGAUCUCAGUUUAAAAAGUAAAUAAGCCAAAGGGGUAUCACUUGAUUGUCUUUAAGAUGAAAAUGUACUUCAGAAUAUUCUUACCCCACUAAAGCUCUGAAAAGUACCUAAGGCAUGUUGACAAGACCCUGGCAUCACUGGUUCGCCACUCUUGAAGUGAUUAUGGACUUCCCGAGACAUAGAAGCUGAAGGUGUGAAGUAAAGAAACUUGCUCAAGGUCACACAGAUGAGAAAACUGAGGCAACAAGUGAAGUGAAUUGUCCAAGGUCACAGAGCCAAUAAAAUGUCUGAAACCAAAUGUGAAUUCAGUUCUUUCUGACUUCAAGCCCAGAGCUCUCUUCACUCUGCUAAGAUGAAACAGUCCGUGGGAAGCUCAGAUUUCUAAAUGUAAUCUUCCAAAAAGAAGGCAGGACAUGAUACUGUGCAAUGGAAAGAGCAUGACUGGAGUAAGAGGACCCAAAUUCAAAUUCUUCCUCUGACUUGCUACCUAGAGGGACCCUGGACAAGUCCCUUAGCUCCUCUGCUGCUCAACUUCCUCAUCUUUCAACUGAUAGGUUUGACAUAGAUGACCUCUGAGAUCCCUUACAACAUAAGACCUACAAUACAAUCCCAUAAAAAGUUCAAAGUCCUUUUGUAUGACUUAUAGAAUCAUUGCCUUUCUGCUCUGCAGACACUCUAUGGCAUUAUGAAAAAAGCCCCUUAUAUAUAGUAUUGAGUUCCAAUUUCCCCAUGUGACCUAGAGCAAAUGACAACUUUCCUAAACUUCAUUUCCCUCCUAUCUAUAAGAUGAAAUUUAGAAUACUUGCCUUGUGGUGAAAUGGGAAAAAAUGGCCUUUGGUAAGAUAUCAAGUGCUAGAAUUGAUUCAAGUUAUUAUUCUUCCUCAAAGAUAACAUUUCACUGUGAACCUUUUAACAAGUUGAUGGCAUAAUACCACUUUAGAAUUACAGCUAAAGAAACUUGCUAGCCCAGAAACACACACAUCCCAUGGCAUGAGAAAAAUCUUACAAACAGCUGGUAUUUCUAGUUCUUGGUCCCAUAAUCCUGGGGCCAGGUCUGCCCCCCCCAAAAAAUGGGUAAGCAUGUUGUUAGUGACUUCACAGAAUCUUCAAGUCACAGAAUAUUACAGUAGGAAGGUUUCUCAGAGAUCCACUGGAAUCCAAUCCCUUCAUUUUACAGAUGGGGAAAAUUGGGGUCCAAUAAAAAAGAAUAGAUUUCCCCAAAGUCAUUCUGAUAGAUAGUAGCUGAGAACAGCUACCACAAGGGUUGUGAACUUACAAAUACCAGUAAUAGGAUGUCUUUUGACCACACCGUUUAUAAGACAUCCAGCAAAUUAUGGCCUCCUCAAUUUAGUUCAGUAGUUACUUAAAAUAAGAUUCUACAUAUAAAGGACUGGAGAUGCAAGAACAAUAAUGAAAUCAUCUGCUUGUUGCAGCCAUUUGACUACCAAAAGACAAAGAAAUAGUCAUUCUCUCUUGUUAGACUUCUCCAAAAGAAUCUUGGACUAGGAGAGGGAGAUAUAUGAUGGCAAUGAUGACGAUGAAGAAUACCAAAAAUGCACAGUUGUGGAACAUGCCCUUUAGGUUUGGCUUUUUGAACCCAAGAUUUUACUUCAUGCUUUCAUAAAAGAUAUGGACUCUGUUCAUAGAAUUAAGACUGUAAAAGUUCUGGGAGCCAUCAGACCAUGAUGCCUUGACAGAGUCACACGUGGUAGCUGGGGAGACCACAGAGUAGUACUUGGUGAGUUGUGAUUGCCCACUCAACCCUCUUUUACAUGACCUCUUUCAUCAAUGCCCCUUACUUAUGAAUUGACACGAUUAUUCCCCCUAGUCUCAAAAGAAAUAAUGCAAGAGCAAAACACCUGUACCCUAAUUCUCCAAAGCAUCACCAAAAGAUCAGACUCUUAAACCCAAUCCCAAAAAACUUAUCAUGGGUUAACUUUUACUUACGUACAUAAUUCCCAGCAAAACCACAGCUACAGACCAAGCCAAAAACUUCCCCACAUACAGAAGCCUAUUCUCAAGAAGGCAGCACACAAAUCAAUCAUAAAGGCCCAAGCAAUAAGUACAAGUACAUCAAGCUUCAGUAUGCCUCAGUGAUUCAGGAACUCCCUAGAAGCCAUCAGUCUAAAUUUGAAUUGUGUUCCCAGACCCCUCAGCCUCAAUGAUAUGAUUGUUGAAUUGUCUUCUAAGAACUGCUGAUUAAUUAUUCCAUUUUAUUAAAAGCAAUACGUAAUUUUCCUUGAUUUUUUUUAAGCUCAAAACUUCUCACAGGGUAAUGAAAAAAUUAAGCCACCUAUGACGAAAUCAUUUAUCUUUUGUGCAACCUUUAUUCUGUCUGUAAUCACAAUACAAAAAUAUAGAAUGUUAAUCAA